AUGGAAGUUGGAAACCUACGGGGAGGCUUAAAUUUUCUCUCGGAAGCCAGCUUUGAAGACCUUUUUUUUCUCUCUGCAAUUUUUCACAUCAAUUCUAUUUUGUCUUUUAUUUUUCUUCAGCAACAUUAUUUUCUUUGACCGUUCAGAGCUUUGAUUUUCCCUUUUUCUUUUCCGAUUUUCAUUUAGCCAAAGUAGUAGUUUCCUACAUUGGGGACCUAUUAUAAUUUAUUUAAUUUAGUCUAAGCAAUUACUUCGAAGAAGCAGAAUCCUACCGACAUGUGGAGGACUGCUCAAGUAUUUCAAGAUUCG
rnacentral:lncRNA from 1 species